rnacentral:lncRNA from 1 species
CGGGCCCGGGAGCGCUGCACCCGCUGGGAAGGGGCCGCGGGGGAGCCUGCGAGGCCCGCAGCUCCCUGGCAGGAGGCUGCGGCCCGGCCUCUGCUCCCGGGCAGGCAGCGGCAGGAGGAGAGGACACGGCCUCGAGCUGCGCCAGAGGAGGUUUAGGGUGGGCAGUGAGAUGAAUUUCUUGAGAAAGGGUGAUCGGACAUUGGAACGAGCUGCCCAGGGAGGCGGUGGUGGAGUCACCGUCCCUGGAGGUGUUUUAGGGAAGGCUGGACGUGGCACUCGGUGUCUGACCGACACCGCGGUGUUCUGUCCUGGCUUGGACCCGAUGACCCCAGAGGUCUUUCCCAACCCGCUUGAUUCGGUGAUUCUGUUAAGUAUUUCUGAUUUAUUGAACUAUUUCUGAUUUAUGGAGUGUACCGUGAGCUAGAGCAUCUCCACCCAUGGCUUUCCAUCCCAGGUUCAUGGCCACAUUCAGGGCUGGGGAGCUGCCGUGCUGGUGCAGCAGCCCUGGGAAGCACACAGGUGCCAGAGGCCAAGUGUUGCUCCUGAGCUGGGCUGUGAUUUCCCUCUUUGUCAGAUAUUUCCCCUAUUUUUGCCUGAAGAUGCUUCCCAGUAGUGCUUGGGCUUCCCUGUGCACUGUGGUGACACCCAGUUGUGGUAGAAACCCCUGUGACCCUGCCUGCCAUAAAUACCCCCCAGCACCCUGCAGAAUCAAACUGCAGACCAGUGCCCUGUUAGCAGGAGGAGAGGGUGUGGGAAUUGGCAGGGUGCUGCUGAAUUCCAGUUUCAAGAGGUGGAUCCCUUUCCUGGGAUGGGCAGAGUGGAUUUCAUCCCUCCUGGCUGAAGCUCCCUAA